rnacentral:rRNA from 1 species
AUUGAACGCUGGCGGCAGGCCUAACACAUGCAAGUCGAGCGAGCGGCGGACGGGUGAGUAAUGUAUGGGGACUGCACGAUAGAGGGGGAUAACUACUGGAAACGGUGGCUAAUACCGCAUACUAUCGGAUAACCCAUAUGGGAUUAGCUAGUAGGUGGGGUAAAGGCUCACCUAGGCGACUAUCACUAGCUGGUCUGAGAGGAUGAUCAGCCACACUGAGACUGAGACACGGCCCAGACUCCUACGGGGGCAGCAGUGGGGAAGAUUGCCCAAUGUGCGCAAGCCUGAUGCAGCCAUGCCGCGUGGAUGAAGAAGGCCUUAGGGUUGUAAAGUACUUUCAGCGGGGAGGCGUUACACGCAGAAGAAGCACCGGCUAACUCCGUGCCAGCAGCCGCGGUAAUUC